rnacentral:rRNA from 1 species
GAUGAACGCUGGCGGCGUGCUUAACACAUGCAAGUCGAACGGAAAGGCCCAAGCUUGCUUGGGUACUCGAGUGGCGAACGGGUGAGUAACACGUGGGUGAUCUGCCCUGCACUUCGGGAUAAGCCUGGGAAACUGGGUCUAAUACCGGAUAGGACGAUGGUUUGGAUGCCAUUGUGGAAAGUUUUUUCGGUGUGGGAUGAGCUCGCGGCCUAUCAGCUUGUUGGUGGGGUAAUGGCCUACCAAGGCGUCGACGGGUAGCCGGCCUGAGAGGGUGUACGGCCACAUUGGGACUGAGGUACGGCCCAGACUCCUACGGGAGGCAGCAGUGGGGAAUAUUGCACAAUGGGCGCAAGCCUGAGGCAGCGACGCCGCGUGGGGGAUGAAGGCCUUCGGGUUGUAAACUCCUUUCGCUAGGGACGAAGCGUUUUUGUGACGGUACCUGGAGAAGAAGCACCGGCUAACUACGUG